rnacentral:rRNA from 1 species
UACGGAGGGUGCAAGCGUUGUUCGGAUUCAUUGGGCGUAAAGGGCGAGUAGGCGGCCUUCUAAGUCAGACGUGAAAUCCCCCGGCUUAACCUGGGAACUGCGUCUGAUACUGGGAGGCUCGAGUAUGGGAGAGGGAUGUAGAAUUCCAGGUGUAGCGGUGAAAUGCGUAGAUAUCUGGAGGAAUACCGGUGGCGAAGGCGGCAUCCUGGACCAUUACUGACGCUGAAUCGCGAAAGCUAGGGGAGCAAACGGG